GAUGAACGCUGGCGGCGUGCCUAAUACAUGCAAGUCGAGCGAACAGACGAGGAGCUUGCUCCUCUGACGUUAGCGGCGGACGGGUGAGUAACACGUGGAUAACCUACCUAUAAGACUGGGAUAACUUCGGGAAACCGGAGCUAAUACCGGAUAAUAUAUUGAACCGCAUGGUUCAAUAGUGAAAGACGGUUUUGCUGUCACUUAUAGACGGAUCCGCGCCGCAUUAGCUAGUUGGUAAGGUAACGGCUUACCAAGGCGACGAUGCGUAGCCGACCUGAGAGGAUGAUCAGCCACACUGGAACUGAGACACGGUCCAGACUCCUACGGGAGGCAGCAGUAGGGAAUCUUCCGCAAUGGGCGAAAGCCUGACGGAGCAACGCCGCGUGAGUGAUGAAGGUCUUCGGAUCGUAAAACUCUGUUAUUAGGGAAGAACAAAUGUGUAAGUAACUAUGCACGUCUUGACGGUACCUAAACAGAAAGCCACGGCUAACUACGUG
rnacentral:rRNA from 1 species